rnacentral:tRNA from 2 species
GAUCCACUAGCUCAGUUGGUAGAGCACCUGACUUUUAAUCAGGGUGUCCCGCGUUCGAGUCGCGGGUGGAUCA